CGCAGCCAGUUAGGGAAUCUUCCACAAUGGACGAAAGUCUGAUGGAGCAACGCCGCGUGAGUGAUGAAGGUUUUCGGAUCGUAAAACUCUGUUGUUAAAGAAGAACAAGUGUUAGAGUAACUGUUAACACUUUGACGGUAUUUAACCAGAAAGCCACGGCUAACUACGUGCCAGCAGCCGCGGUAAUACGUAGGUGGCAAGCGUUGUCCGGAUUUAUUGGGCGUAAAGCGAGCGCAGGCGGUUUUGUAAGUCUGCUGUGAAAGCCCUCAGCUCAACUGAGGAAGUGCAGUGGAAACUACAAAACUUGAGUACAGAAGAGGAAAGUGGAACUCCAUGUGUAGCGGUGAAAUGCGUAGAUAUAUGGAAGAACACCAGUGGCGAAGGCGGCUUUCUGGUCUGUUACUGACGCUGAGGCUCGAAAGCAUGGGUAGCGAACAGGAUUAGAUACCCUGGUAGUCCAUGCCGUAAACGAUGAAUACUAGGUGUUGGAGGGUUUCCGCCCUUCAGUGCCGCAGCUAACGCAUUAAGUAUUCCGCCUGGGGAGUACGACCGCAAGGUUGAAACUCAAAGGAAUUGACGGGGGCCCGCACAAGUGGUGGAGCAUGUGGUUUAAUUCGAUGCUACGCGAAGAACCUUACCAGCUCUUGACAUCUUCUGCCAACCCAAGAGAUUGGGCGUUCCCUUCGGGGACAGAAUGACAGGUGGUGCAUAGUGCCCUUUCUUUUAUUUCG
rnacentral:rRNA from 2 species